GGUGGUUUUGGGUGCCAAUGGUCCCCAUGUCUGUGCAGGCACCAUCUCUGCCUCAGAGCUCUCCCUGCGCCCCGUGGAUCCCGGGAUGAUGCCGCUGCUGGACAUGGCCACGGGGCUGGAAUGAGCCAGUCUGGUCAAUGCAGCCAAGGCCUAUGGAGCCUUGGACCUACCCCAGAAGGUGUCGCAGCUCGAGGCCAGGCUAAAGCAGCUCCACAGCGACCUCCAGAAGGAGAAGCAGGGCAAGGUGGUU